rnacentral:rRNA from 1 species
CUCAGGAUGAACGCUGGCGGCGUGCCUAAUACAUGCAAGUCGAGCGAAUGGAUUAAGAGCUUGCUCUUAUGAAGUUAGCGGCGGACGGGUGAGUAACACGUGGGUAACCUGCCCAUAAGACUGGGAUAACUCCGGGAAACCGGGGCUAAUACCGGAUAACAUUUUGAACCGCAUGGUUCGAAAUUGAAAGGCGGCUUCGGCUGUCACUUAUGGAUGGACCCGCGUCGCAUUAGCUAGUUGGUGAGGUAACGGCUCACCAAGGCAACGAUGCGUAGCCGACCUGAGAGGGUGAUCGGCCACACUGGGACUGAGACACGGCCCAGACUCCUACGGGAGGCAGCAGUAGGGAAUCUUCCGCAAUGGACGAAAGUCUGACGGAGCAACGCCGCGUGAGUGAUGAAGGCUUUCGGGUCGUAAAACUCUGUUGUUAGGGAAGAACAAGUGCUAGUUGAAUAAGCUGGCACCU